CCAGGAGUGGGAAGAGGGCAAGAGUUCUCCUUGGGGAAUACAUUUGCUGAAUUUUUUUAAAUUGCCACAUUUCCUAUCUUUAGCAUUUGAAAAAUAUUGACUGUACUGAAAAGUUUUAAAUUUAUGGCAGGUUACUAGGGAUUUUUCAGCAUAGCCUGAUCCAAGUAUUCCCUUUGAAGUAGUGCCUAUAAUAUAGUGCACUUCACCAAAGAAGAGAAAAGAAAAACAGCCUGUCUCCUUGAGAACAAGAACAAACCGCUUGCAAACAUGAAUUGAAAGCCUACUUUCUGAGUAGAGAUACUAGUGACCAACAAAGCCAUAACCUACCUCCACCUCUCAUGCAACAGCAGUGGGAGACUCCAUGGGGCAACGACCUCUCUGCUGACUUCUCAGAAUCAUUAGCCUCUGGUCUAUCAACCUGCAGAUAAGAAAUCUCAAGAAAGGAAGAGUGAUUGGAACUCUAAAGGAAGGCAGGAAAAUGAAGGUCAGAAGGCAGACUCCACCGCCUCUCCUGCUGCCAGUUUGUUGAAGAUCCAGUUUCGGAUCCUACAUUUAAUUUUGUUGUCAUGCCUCCACAGAGAUCUCCUCCAAUCAGUGACAGUUCAAAAUCAUCUGGGGAAGAAAAACGGAAGCCCAGAGAAAGUUCCUGUGUCCAACUGAAGGGCUGCUCCAUUCUACUCAAAGAAGCAUUUUGGUGAAGUCCAAUCACAAGAAACAACUCAUAGCAUGACAUUCUUACAGGGAAUUUGCACUGCCAAUUUUAUCUGUGUCCACUUCCCGAAGGAUCAGAACUAUCAGAGUUAAUAGUCAGAGUGAAUUGAGAAUUGGAUUUGAGAACUGAAUCCCUUACCACCCAACUGCCAAUAAGGACACAAGUGGUCAGAGCUUUACCAGGACAUCUUCUAUGAAGUAAAAGACUAAUUGUUAUAAGUGCAUCUCCCAAAACAAGGAAGGAACCUCUCUGGGGUCCCCAAAUAAUUCUUUCAUUUACACAUUGGUUGACAUGAAAAAGAACCAGCUUUAAGUGAAUGUGAAAGAACUAUGUAGCAGGUCCAGACUGUGGUACAAUAGCCCUACCACUUGGGUUAUACAUUCUAGCAGACCCUGUACUAUUGGGGGUGUCUGAAGUGGAAGAUGUAGCAUGGAGUUUCUGGCAAGGACCAUUGGGCAUACUACAAGGCAGGGUCCUGAGGUUCAACAGCAAGGCCAAAACAUAGGCCAGGGAGAGUUAUUUGCCUUUUAAAGACAGCUCCAAGGGAGUUAGUGGGCCCUGGUAGAGAGGGAAUACUUGGCCGUGAGACACCAAAAGCCACACCAGAAUUUCCCAUCAAGAGCUGAGUUAUAUUAGAACCAUCAAGUCAUAGAAUCAAAUAGUCCCAGCAGCAAUUCAUGCUAAGAUAAAAAUGGUAGAUACAUUCAGGAUUAAACACUAGUAAAGACCAGACAGUACAAGUAAGCUAUAUGAUCAAGCACAGCAGACCCCCACAUCAUCAUGCUGGCUGAAUGCCCCUCCAUCAGCUCACACUAAUGAACAUAUGGCGGAGGGCAUCUACAAAACCAUCUGAAGCAGGAAGGAACAGCCUGAAUUUAGUUUAUGAAUAGUUCAGCAUAUGGGUACAAGCCGAAAUUAAAUGAUAACUGCAUUAUAGCCACACUCAGAAAAAUGAUCUUGAAAAACAGUAGAGAGGAAAAAUCUUACAGCUGGGAAGAAUCUUAAACAGAACAACUGGCUUAUCCACUUAUAAUAGAAAGAUAAGUGGCCUAAACUAAUAUAUAUGGAAUAGAUAUCAGUGGCAGAUGAGUCUGGCAAGUUGGUCAGGAGUAUGAAAGCCAGGAGUUAGAAGGUUGUAGACAAAUACUUAAAAAAAGACUUAAGGACAAAACUUUUGGAGUAGAGGGUGAAGAUGUAUAUGUGGGAGUGAAUGUAUUUUAUUUGAAACAUGUUCUUAUCACAUGUUAAUAACUUCCAGAAAGCAUUCAUAAUUGAAAAGGCAUUGAAUAAACAAGCAGAAAAAAUUGGGCAAGCCAAGUGGCAUUAGGCAGUGUUUGCCAUCAGACUUUUGAAUUGGCAUGAUGGUUCCAUGAACAGAGUGGCUACAGCAGCAGAGAUGAAGACUAAUUAAUCACGGGCCACCCUUAUCAAUGCCUCUGAUUUAACAACAGAGCCCAAAAGUAUAUCCCUAAUAUGGCCCUAUUCCUUGAGGAGACUGCCCAGCCACUUGAUGACAAGAUGAUUAUAUUGGAUCACUGUGAACCUCAUGUCUACUAUGCAUCUGGCUGCUUCCUCCUGAUGAAAAUAAUAUCCUCUAUUUCUCUUCCUAUUUCCAAAUCUCAAAUGAAUGCCUUUCAUUGGAAAAUGAUUCAGGAACCAGUUGAGGAAGAGAAUUCAGGAAAUGAAGUUCCUACCUUUUCUUCUGUGAUGCAGAGAUCUUACAAGGAGGUGGCUAUGAGGCCAAGUUAAUGACAAACAUUUGACCAUGGUCCAUCCCUUGUCAACCUGGCAUUUAUACUCUUUUGUUACCCACAAUUAAACUUCCAAGUUAAAGCAAUAAUAAUUGCUGAUGGCUGAUUUUAUAACAAUCUUCAAGCAUGAUAUAUCAAUGGAGAAAAAAAGGGAUUUGACCCAGGCAAAAUAAUUUGUCUUUCUUUGUUAAGGUUAAAUAAAUUGGACAUCUUAAAGAGAGGCAGGAGAGCAUAGUAGUUUAAAAAUGUGGACUCACAAGACAGAUUGUUUGGGAUCGAUCUUAUCUCUCCUCCUUACUAGCUUGUGACAUUCAGCCAGUUGCUUAGUUUCUUGACAUCUCACUCUCCUUUCUCCUAAGAUAGAGAUAAUAACUGCACCUAUUUCAAAGGGUUGUUGUGAUAAAAAAAAAAAAAAACAUGUUCAAAUAUGUUAAAAUGCCUAGAUCCAUGCCUACCAUAUAGUGGACAUUCUAUAAGUUCAGUUGUGAUUAUUCCCAUCUUGAAGACAGUUUGUGGUUGUGCCUGCAGGCAAGAAAAUGACAAAAUGUCGAGUUUUUUUUUUAAAUUAAGACUUUAUUUAUUUAUUUGAGAGAGAGAGAGCAUGAGGGGAGGCAAGCAGAAAGAGAGGGAGAAGAAGGCUCCCCACUGAGCAGGGAGCCAGAGGCAGGGCUCAAUCCCAGGACUCUGAGAUCAUGACCUGAUCCAAAGGCAGAUGCUUAACCAACUGAGCCACUCAGGCGCCCCCAAAUGACCUCUUAUGAUCUCCUCUAAUGCGGAGUUUCAAAGAUUUUUGUGGUUUAAGGUUGCUGAAUUUGCCCAGUCCUAAAAGUUUUCCCACCCUUCCUACCUUAUCUUCAUCUUCACUGUCUUCUCUGUGGACAGAAUGCUCUUAGCAGUGUAUGGGAAACAUCACUGACUCAUGCUCUCCUCUGCCGCCAUCCUCCACCAUCAAUCAGUUCAUCUGGUCAGAUCACCUUCUCACCAACCCACCUUAUUCUCUUUUCUUUCUCUCAUCUCCAAAAAAUUUUCCAUGCCUCCUCUGGUGUUUGAGGUUUUUCUUAAGUCUUCCUAGACAGUAGUUCUGAUUUGGUCCAGGGAAGAAUAACGUCAAGCAUAGUCCUGGGAUGGAAAUUGCAAAGGCUCAAAUAUAAUUCCAGCAUUCCAAUUUGGAACCCAGAGGGUUGGGAGUUCCAUAACUGGUGCACACUCAGCACUUUGCUCCCUUGUGUUAUUGGUGCACAUUGGAUUAUAAACUCUUUUAAGGACAUGGCUUGUGUUUUAUUCAUCUUUGUAUCUUUCCCAGCACCUGGCACAAUGUUUUGCUCAAUAAAGGAUUGUUAAUGGAAAUAAAUAAAAUGAAAUGGAAUAAUGUC